AGCAAAUAAUGGACACCAGUGAGAGUUAGUGUAAAAUGUGCAGAUAUUUACCUUUCUGUGUGUGCUGUGGCCUGUCUGUGGCUGCUGACGUGUAACUGCUUGGUGCACUGUCCCACCGGGAGGGGUGCCUCAGCAGCUCACGCAGACCCUUUGAAGUCUUACUGAUGGUUGUGCUGCUUUACAUAUUUGUUACAAGACCAGGAACAUUGGAGGUAGAGGGAAUUUCUUUUUCUUCAUGUGAAUGAGUGUAAUUAGUCUGCAGAGCUGCUAGGAUUCCUUGUGAAUCAGUGAGAUAAUUGCUUUAUAAGAGGAAAAUAAUUACAUAAGAGUUUGAAAGGGCACAGAUUUAAUUCCUAUUUGAGGAAGGGUUGCCAAACUCACUAUACGAGGAGAUUGCUACUGAGACCUUGCUUAUGAGAUGCAUUUAUCUUGCUGGAAAACCCCCCUCCAUGUUUUUUAUAUCAUGCUCUCCUGAGGAAACUAUUUCCCUCAGAAUAGGUAACCGUUUGUAGUUGCUAUAGCUUUUUAAUUUCGAUUCUUAAGAGUUGCCUAUGCAAGCAUGCUAUCAGAUUCUAUUGGCUUCAAAUCUCUGGGCUCACUUAAAUUUGGUCAACAUUAAAUUCGUAAAAGAAAUUUCAGCCUCCACCCAAGGGAAAGGGAACUGUGCAACUCGUCAUUUGGCUGUAACUGGUCCCCAGCUGGCUGAUCUGCAGUGUGACAAGCAGGACAGUUAGAAUAGCAGGGGAGGUAGGGAGCCUAGGGUGUAUGUACAGAACAGAACGUUGCUGAAGAACACAGGUGUGAUGUAAAAGAUAAGGUUCUGAAAAGUAUGUGUGGAAAGAGAAUCUAGGAUGAAAAUCCAAAGUAAACAAGGUCACACUGGUAGCAAAGAAUGAAGAAAUAUUCAUCAGAUGAAUCCAGGAAAGUAUUUAUGCUCCAGAAAUUGUUCAAUUGAAGACUUAUUGAAAAUCAGCUAAAUAGCCACCUACUUUAGUAUCAUAACCAUGCACACAGUAAUCAAAGGAGGCAAUAUGUUUUUAAAGAGCUGUUUUUUUGCUUUUUUUUUUGCUAUGCCUACAACAGAGACUCGAAGGUCAACAAGCUGUUCAGCAAAUAUCUGAGAAGAAAUCCCAGAGAACUGGCAUUCCUGAACUGGAAUAGAGAGACAUGAAGUCCAGCACAUCUUCUCAUUUCCUCUAUUGAGGUCCCAAAGGUAUGGCAGAAAGUGCUACAAGAACUGGUGUGGUCCUUUUAAAUAACACAUUAAAUUUCAGGCAGCAGAGAAUAAAAAUAGCUUAACACUGAAACCCUAAGAGAAGAGAAACCUUGGCUUCCAGGAAUAGAGUUCACUCUUCCAGUAAGUUCCCAUGAGCUCACAGGUUCCUCAACACAAUGACCUAUACAGCAAAAUAAGUUUGAGGUAAAGUCUCACACAAACAAAUUAACAGUUCAGUUCAAUGAACAGUCACAGUGAUCUAUUCCUUCCUCAUAUUUAAACAGAGCACUGAAAAAACCACGUUAGUUUCUAGUGAAUGACUAACAAAGUGCACGGGAUUUGCCAAUUUUCACACAUUUACAUAAGAGCAGAAAUCCUUCAGAUCUUCUUGUGCAGAAAGCAGAAGACCUUUCCAGGUAAGACAGCAAGUUAAGUGCUUAGCAUUAAACUAAAUGUUAGAAAUUGUUUACAGUAAAUAAGUGUAUAUAAAAUUAAAUGUAAAACCAACAAAACUGAGUUUUGGAAAGUCUUACCAUGGAUACUGGGACUGACAAAUCUGAUUGAGGUCUCCUAUUUUUGAGUGGAGGAAAGCACAUGUUAAAAUUAUUUUACGUACAUAUAUAUUUCAUAGUGGUUACAGAAAGACAGGCUUAUAAACACCGAAGCUUUCUAAGUAGCAGGUAACAAAAAUACUGAGUUCCUAAGAGCAGGAAACAUAACGAAACUACAGAAGACUUUUUUCACUUACUGCAAAUCUCAUAGAGCUGCAAACAGCCUUUUUUUUUUUUUCAUAUGGAUCAAGAGAAAGAGCAAAUUUAUUUUUUUUUUCCAUUUCCAAAUGAUCUUUCAUUAUGGAGAUAAAUAGUUCAGUAAUGAUCAGACGAAACCUUAAAAAUCUGCAAUUCAUGCCUCAUUCUCUAGAAGGCCUUCUUACAUCUCUCUCUCAUAUUUCUCCUCCUAAUGUUAUCUUGUUCUCCAAUUGCACAUGAGCAAUAGUAGUUCUUCAGUCUAAACUAUCUGAUGCUAUAUGCAGCUGUAUUUCUUAUAUGCAGAACAAAUAUUCUUGUCCCCUUACUAAAUCAAGUGGAAAGGAUUAGUGAAACAACAGAGAGCCAACCAAGUAUGGUUUCAAAGUGAAGGCAAAGAAAAAACAAACCCCAGACUCUAAAACCCUUGUAGGCAGCGUGUGUUCCAGUGUACCUGAGGGGAAUUGAAUACUCUGAUGUCUGCAUUGUUAGAUGGUGAAGAUUCCUUGAUUGGCAGAGUAUUCUCCUGCUGAGGCAGAGACACUAAGAAGAGGAAAAAAGGAAAAUGAGUGAGAGAAAUCACAUGCAUUUUAGGUAAAUCUCUUAUCAACGUGCACGUUAGAGCAAAUGCAGAUCUAUACUUAAUGAAAGGUGUACUGAAAUAGAAAAUGACUUUGAAACACUCAAAGGAGGCACAUGGGACUGGAUCUCUUGGAAGUAUUGAGUGCCCUCUCACCCAUACAGAACAUAGCUUUGCACUUCCCAGAAUUUGAUUGCCAUUGCUAAAAUAAGUGGAAGUAGAGCCUUUCCCCCAGUAUGCUUAUAGUCACUCCAUGGGACAUUAAGUGCAGCAGUGUCACACACUGCAGUACACCAAUCACACAUUUAAUAAUUAAAGUUAUCACAUAUCAGACAAACACACAACUUGCUUUGCCUGCUUACUAGCAAGCAACUGCUUUGUAGCUGUAUGCGUUUAUGAAUCAUGGAGUGCCUUUUAUAGGAUAGUCAUCUCAGUGCUACCCACAUAGAAGCUGAAGAGUGUGGCACAACUAUGAAUUUUUAGUUUCUCAGCCAGUUCUGUGCGUGCUGGACUGCUCUGCGUGGCCUCAAACAUUUGAGCACAUUCCAAAUGGGGGAUAAUGAUGUAAUGCAAGGUAGGGACAGUUAUGUAGAACAUGUGUGUGAAGAUACUGAGCAAUCCCAAUCUAGUAAAGCACACGUGGAUCUUUCAAGUUGGGUUGCCCGGACCCUCGUAGAGCUUCCUGCAUUUUAGCAAGUCCAUUCUUUGGCUCUGAAUUGCUCACCUUUUGCCAUUCUGUAGCAGUUUACUGUUGCCAGGAGAUCAGGUGAAACACUUGUAAAGACUUCCUCCAGUGUCUGCACAUUGUUCUCAGUUAAAAGACCCUGUUUUUCCAAUAAAAUCAGCAACUCCAAAGCAGACUGAUGAAGAAAAUGAUAAAAUAUAUUUAUUGUUCUUCAGAACUUAAAAACAUUUGUUUCAGCCCUGCCUGUCUCAAAUAAUCCCACUAUUGUCUGCUUUGCCUCUUAUUAAUAGAGUCCAAACAGUCAAUUUUACAUCACGGGGAGAGGGAGCUUCCUUCUUUCUAACCCUCUGAACACUGAGCAGCUUAGUCACACACCAUCUUUUCUGCCAAAGACUUCUAACACUUCUCCCAUUCCACUCCUGCUCCGACCUUCUUCCCUCCCGUCCAUAUGCAUGUUUGCUUUUCUCCCCACAUACAGCAGUUCUACGUCGCUUUGGAAGAUGGUUUCUCAGGAGGAAUACAAUUUCCUGCAGCAUCUCAUUGGUAAUGUUCUCUGACAGUUCAUACAGCAUCUGCCUGUAAGAGAGACUCAAUGAGACAAAAGUAGAAGGGAUGGUGGAGAAACUAAAAGCAAUAUGAGAAAUUAAAGGAAAGGGAACCAGAAUGUUAUAGAUGGCAGUAGUGGAAAGAAUAGAAUCUCAUUACAUACUUACCUGUAUGGAGACACUUUUCCCUUCUCAUGUAGGCGUUCUUGCACUUUCUCCUUGGUAUAGCCAAGUGUACUGAGCAAGGAGUGAUAUUUAAUUCUGUAUAACAGUUCAGCUAGCAGGAAAGUGUCUUCCUCAUUCAGAUAAUCUUUGUCUAUAAGAAGCUGAAAAAUGUCCAUUGCUGACUGCACGCUUUCUAGUUUUCUGAAGGUGAUCAAGUCAGUACAGAGAAAUUUCAAUGCUGCUACAUCUUCAGACCCCAGUUUUUCGUCAAUGAGCAGGAGCAGCUGACGAAACUGCCACCCAUCACUGCCUUCCAUGUUGCUGCCGCUGAUGAUCUCUGCCUGAAAGUCAAAAGUCGGUAACAAUCAAAUCUCCAGCAAUCCUCAUAAUUAUAUAUAAGAUUUCAUCCAACUAGGUUUGAAAGUCUUGAAUUCUCUGCAAAAGAGAAGUUUCCUUUUAAAUCAAUCUGGAACAUACGUCCUUCUCCAGACAUAAAACUACAGAGAUCAAAUUUGGCAGGUGCUCUAUACAGCCCUGUCUAACUUUGAUGUCAGCCCUGUGCUGAUCUGAAAUCUGUGCUAGAUGACCGCAAGAGUUCCUUUAUAAUCUAAAUUCUUUUAUUUCUUUCUAUCAUCUUUAACAUUCAGAGCUGCACUUCUUUACACUGUUGGUGGGUGGAAAGAAUGCCUGCUUACUUACUGCAACUCAAAGAGAGGAGAAUGUAGCGAAACCGUGUAUUCCUUGAUCUUCUUCUGAACUUGCAUUUAGUGCAGGAAAGCCUCUGCACAAGCAACUUAAUCCUACUGAAGUUUCCAGCAGAGAGCAAUCAUCCUUUUAUGCACUAACUUCUUUUAUACACCUUAUGCAGUUAUUAUUUGCCUGUGUAAUGUCUUUUAGGGAAGCUUACUUAAGAAAGAGCUUCAGUGCCUUUCUUCUGCCCAAACAGGAAGGUGGGCUCCUAGUCUUUUGUUCAGAGCAGCUGGGAUGAGCCAAGCUUUCUACAUAAGAGAACACAUAGAAAAAACAAGUCCGGGAAGCAGAGCUAGCAAAGAAAAGCUUCCAAAUUCAGAUUUGUUGAAGCACCUGGGUGGACAGCAGGUCACAAAGGAUAUCAUAGCAUCUUGGGAGCACAGAGAUUUUUGCUAUUUUGUGUUCACAGAUAGAUAUGUAAUUCCAAGUCCUGGCACCCAGCUAGGAUACAAGCAUCAUCUACGUUUCAAGUAAGAAAGCUGACAGGUUCCAGGAGUCCUGCACACUCCUCCUCAGUGUUGUGAAACUUUCUUCUCUUAAGAAAUCAAUUACUAUCAAAUAGGUCUGGAUUUCAGCCAGUGAUCUGACACAUACACCAAAACUGAAUCACUUCACAGGAAAUCAGACUUCAAAUCAAUUUAGCCAGGCUACUUCUAAACCUUGUUCUGAUGCUCUAAUAAGUAAAUUUAGCAGAGUAACUUAGGUUAAAUUGAUUCCUUCCUAUGUCAGCAAGCCCGUAUAAACUAGGUUCAAACUGAAUAGUGACUACUCGUAAUUUGGAGCCAAUGAUUUGAAGGAAAUCUGAUAAUAAAUCAUAGCUUUAGGGGAAGAGGAUCAAGUUGUGCACAGCCCAAGCGUGCACAUAAUUAUUUCAUCAACAAGUCAAACUGAAGCAAGACUCAGAACAAAUUCCUUCAUCUACCUUUACAACAGUUUUCAAGUAUGUGCUGCUGCCACUCUGGAACGCUCUUCACUCCAAACACUUUCUGCUUGAGUUGAGAAUAUCCUCACAGACACUAAACCUGUGCUGAAUUUACCAGUUGCCCAUUGAUCACAACGCCUGGCCCGCCCCCCUAGCAAGACUGGAAGAGGAGACACCACCACUCCAUUGCUGGAACCCCCCACUUGGUUUACAGCUAUGGUGUUUUUGGAACCCUCUACCACUUAUGCAUUUUAUAAGCAACACUCGAGGGCCAGGACCUCCUUGUCCCUCAGAUUUGUCACGGUUCACCGCACCAUUUGCAGCCAGGCCAGCGGGGCACUAACGAGCACAAAACCGACACAAACAGAAAGGUGGUGGAUCUACGUGUUGCAAAAUAUCCAGAGGGAAUAUCCAGAAGGAUCCAGAAGGAAAAGCACAUCGAAUAGGCAAUGAAGAUUAUCAAAUUACUGUGGUUUUUUUUCCUCUUACGUUUUAGAGAACGUAACACUGCCUGACUUAAAGACUGUAAAAGAACGCAAAACCACGAGCCGCAGAAGAAUGGCAAAGCUCAGCCCGCGGCCCCGCAAACAAGGGGAGCAACCGGCCGCCGGGGGCAGCUGCGCAACAGCGGGAGGAAGGCGUGUUCUUUCGUUCCCCUCCGCUCCAGUUUCUCCUUUCUUACCUCCGGAAGAAAUUCGCGCCCGUCCCCGCUCCCGGGGCCGCCGUGCGCCCGGUGCGCUGCGCUGCGCUGCCCGCUCCGUGCCCCACGUGCUGAGUCACAGCGCCGCAGCUCUGCGGGAGGGGCGGAAAUGCCCAGGGACGGGGCUGGGAAGCGGGACAAAGCCAACAGGUUGAAGCCGCUGGGGACGCGCGGCGAGCUGCCAGCGUGAGACUCUGCCCCGGAGGGUUCAGCCGGCCGCCGGGCCGCCCUUUCUCCUCCCCGCAGGGUGCGGAGCCGCGUCGCAGUCGGCCUCGGGACUUUUGGAACUCCCCGCCCUGGCCCCAGCCCAGGAAAUGUGCUAAAUAGUCAGGGAAAAAAAAUACGGCGACGAUUCCAAGGCGGAGUAUAAGAAGCGGGAAGUAACUCUUCAACUACUUUCACUUUCGGUAUAAAAACCCUUUUAAAACAGUUUACAUUAAAAAAAAAAAAAAAAA